GACGAACGCUGGCGGCGUGCUUAACACAUGCAAGUCGAACGGAAAGGUCCUGCUUUUGUGGGGUGCUCGAGUGGCGAACGGGUGAGUAACACGUGAGUAACCUGCCCUUGACUUUGGGAUAACUUCAGGAAACUGGGGCUAAUACCGGAUAGGAGCUCCUGCUGCAUGGUGGGGGUUGGAAAGUUUCGGCGGUUGGGGAUGGACUCGCGGCUUAUCAGCUUGUUGGUGGGGUAGUGGCUUACCAAGGCUUUGACGGGUAGCCGGCCUGAGAGGGUGACCGGCCACAUUGGGACUGAGAUACGGCCCAGACUCCUACUGGAGGCAGCAGUGGGGAAUAUUGCACAAUGGGCGGAAGCCUGAUGCAGCAACGCCGCGUGCGGGAUGACGGCCUUCGGGUUGUAAACCGCUUUCGCCUGUGACGAAGCGUGAGUGACGGUAAUGGGUAAAGAAGCACCGGCUAACUACGUG
rnacentral:rRNA from 1 species